UACGUAGGGGGCGAGCGUUAUCCGGAUUCACUGGGUGUAAAGGGAGCGUAGACGGCCAUGCAAGCCAGGGGUGAAAGCCCGCAGCUCAACUGCGGGACUGCUUUUGAAACUGUAUGACUAGAUUGCAGGAGAGGUAAGUGGAAUUCCUAGUGUAGCGGUGAAAUGCGUAGAUAUUAGGAGGAACACCAGUGGCGAAGGCGGCUUACUGGACUGUAAAUGACGCUGAGGCUCGAAAGCGUGGGGAGCAAACAGG
rnacentral:rRNA from 1 species